rnacentral:tRNA from 1 species
CCGUNUGGUGGAAUUGGUAGACACACUGGAUUUAGGUUCCAGCGCCGAAAGGUGUGAGAGUUCGAGUCUCUCCGUCCGCACCA